GGGGAGUACUGUUACAUACCUGGACUCUUUUAGUGUGUUUUUGCCCCUGUGACACAGUUUCUGUCUUCCGUAUUUGGUUUGAUUAGUUCCCAGGUGUGUCUAUUCCAUUCCCCAUGUGUUCCAUGUCCCUGUUAAUUUAGUCAUGCCAUCCACCUGUGUUUCCCCAAUUAUCCUUUGUACAUAAGCCUUGUCCUUUCUGUUCUGUUUUGUCGGGUCUACUCACUUGCUAUUUACGUGUGUCUACCUCUGUGCUCCACGUGUUGGAUAUAUUAAAAGCCUUAUUUCAUUUAUCCUCUGCUCCAUGUUUCUUCCGGCAGCGUAAACCGUAACACUGCAAUAAGGUUCCAUUAGGUGUUAACUAACGUCAUCUCGGUGUCGGUGAGAUAGAGUGAACCAAAUGGUCCAAACUAUUCAAAAACUGGGACCGUGUUCCUCAGGACUUUACUGUACUUAUGUAUUAUAAGGAAGCCACCAGAGGUCUCAAUGGGCUUUGGUGUCCACCACACUGCUGAGGCUCAGUGGUCGUCAACACCAAAGACUUGAUGAUGAUGCGUCACAUCUCCUUUAAACUUUUCCUGGAAGGAUUCUGAAGAGGGGAAUCGUCCGCUGUGUAUUCAUGGUUCUUGGCUACAGGAUGUUUAAUCACUUUGUUCUUUCUUUCCCUUCAGCAUUGCCCCGACACUCAGUUAUAGCAGAAUGCAUAGAAAAGUUCUGCUUCUUUGUCUUGCAGUCAGCUGAUUUUGGGGUUCAUUUCUAGAGCUCCUGAGACAUUUCCUCUUGCAUUUCUUCUCACUGUCAAUAUCCCAUGGUCUAUCAGAGACACUCAGUUUAGGGGCGUUUGUUCCAAGCUUGAAGUAGGUUUGGGUGCUCACUGAGAGGCUCAGGCGCAGUAAAGCUCUUUGAGAGUUCUUAUAGGACCCAUGGUGAGACUCCAUUGAUGGAGUAUUAUUUGCCACAAUUUUAUGAUCCAUUUUUUGAAGAAUGAAGAUUCAGUAUUGCCAACUGAGAGAGCUAUCCAUGACACCAAUCACACUUACUAUUUUCUUCGCAUUUCAAUUCUAGUUUGACCUGCAAAGUAAUACAAUAUUGGAAUUCCUAACUUCUGGGAUGUCAUAGACCUGCUGCUAAGUGUUUUACCAGUGCCAAUAGUCAGACAAUCUCAAUACAAGUUUCUGACAACUACUUGAGACAUAGAGUCAGAGGGAAGCAUAUAUACACUUGUUAUUACGGUACUGUACGUCCUGAGACAGAAAACAUGAAUAAGCAGGUGACCCACACCAAUUGUUUUAGCUCUGGAUGUAGGCUGUUAGAAGCAUAAACACUACUGAUGAGUGGAAUGUGGUAGAGUAAAUGUUUGUUUUCUUUCAGUAUGGGUUAGAGAACAAGAUAAAUGUGUUGGAGAAAGUCUGAAAUGAGAAGUGAGACCUUUUACCAAUUUGUACAGUCUAUGAAGAGCUUCUCAGACAUCCUGAGAUCAUCACUAUGUAUUUGUAUAAAAGCACAUAUCUUUUAUUGCACACACAGAUAUAAACAUGAGCAUGGAGAGAGAGGCUUGUUUGUAAUGUGAUGCAUUUACAAACUGUUCUGUCACUUCUAUGCUUUAAUACACACAUGUAUGACAAUUGCACAGAGACCCAUACUUCAGAUAAUGUCAUCUUCACUUGAAGGACCUUGUAAGUUCUGCCUUUUUCCAGGUUUGCAGGUCAGUUCCAAGAGGUAUUGUGUGAUUGUCUUGAGCUUCUUUUAACACAAAAAAAAUGUAUACAAGCAUACACUAUUAA